rnacentral:rRNA from 1 species
UACGUAGGGCGCAAGCGUUGUCCGGAAUUAUUGGGCGUAAAGAGCUCGUAGGCGGCUUGUCACGUCGGAUGUGAAAGCCCGGGGCUUAACUCCGGGUCUGCAUUCGAUACGGGCUAGCUAGAGUGUGGUAGGGGAGAUCGGAAUUCCUGGUGUAGCGGUGGAAUGCGCAGAUAUCAGGAGGAACACCGAUGGCGAAGGCAGGUCUCUGGGCCACUACUGACGCUGAGAAGCGAAAGCAUGGGGAGCGAACAGG